GGGUAUUCAAGGAAAAGAUAAUCAUUCAGAGUUCCCUGCUAACUUGGUCGUGGAUACUGUUGAGGAUGCUGUCGACUUUAUCUAGAGAAAAGAGUGCGGUUUUUGACAUCACUUAGACAAAAGAUGCCUUUUCUUUAUGUGGUAUCUGAACAAUUGCCACUUCUAUGGAAGCCGGUACGAUCUUCCAUUCUGCGUUUUCCCUAUCAUAAAAAGUAACUACCAUUAGUUAGUCUUCUAUUGAUUUUGCUCAUCGUGUAUGUAUGACGUUCCUUGAAGGCAGUCCACAUCCCAUUUGAAUUAGGUUAGAUCAAAUGAAUAAUUUAUGGUUCUUCUUACUCUUUUCUCAAUGCAUGCGAUGUCGAUUACAUGAUUUUUGGGAAAGUAUCCCAAUGUUCUUUGUUACGUGUAUAUGAGAAUUGUAAUUGGCAAAUCUGAAACCUUUAUGGACCCUUACCAAACGGGGCGAAGUUUGGAUC